UGAGUUCAUACGAUUGUUUAAUUAUCAGAAACACAGAAAGCUCUCCCACAGAUACACAUUCCCCAGAUGCACUUCAAAACCACCUAAUAAACACGAGAGAUCUCAACCAUAGAACCGUUUCCACCUCAUAACUGCGGUUUACAAGCCCAUUUCUUGGAUUUGGACAGAAUUUACCAUCUUUUACACUCAUUCAUGCAGAGUAACUCUCAUUAAAUCCUGCUCUUCUAGAUUUCUUUACUCUAAUAUUCUACAGUAUGAGCAAAACACAUGACAUCAGGUUACAGGAGAUGGUGAGAACCACAAGCAUCCGUUGCAGUCACGGACAUACAGAACUCCAAACUGAUUCUAGAACAGUUAAAGGGAUUUGGGGUGCAACAAAUGCUCCAUUUGCAUGUGAAAUGCAUAUUUGGAAUUCAAAGUAAUCUAGAAGUCACCCUCCCCACCCACGAAAUUAAAAUAAAUACAAUACAGUACUUUCAUUUACUCAGCCUCAUGUCAUUCCAAACCUGUUGUCUCUAUAUGGAACAAAAAAAAAAAAAAAGAUGUUUAGCAGAACGUCCAAGCUGCUUUUUUUUUCCACAAAAUAAAAGCAUGCAGUGACCCAGAGCCAAAUAAAUGAGCUCAUGCAAAAAUAAACACUUUCAUCAUUAACAAUCCUGUAUGACUGUAUUUUUUUUCUGGGAAACAAAAAAUAUUAUGAGAAAUAUUUGUAUCCACACAAUGGAAGUCAGCUGGGUUUAAAAUUGUUUGGUCCCCAAUGUUCUUCAUUUACAGAUUUGCAACGACAUGAGGAUGAGAAAAUGACAAUUUUCACUUUGGAGAGAAAUACCAAAAAAAAACAAAAAAAACAACAACAUGUUUUCCAUCUUACUGGUUUUACAAUAAUCCAAAUCAUUUGAAAACACUUCAAUUUAAAUAUGAAAAAAAUAAAAAUUACAUUAAAGCAGCUAUGAUUUUCAGAUAUUUCAGAAUUAUUUAUAUACUAUAGCCUAUUAAUAUUUUUAAUUAGUAUUUUCAGUUUUAAUUUUAAGGUUUUAGUAAUUUUAGAGUGUGGUUUUGACAUUUUUAUUAGUUUCUUAUUUCUUUUUAGCUUUUUGUAGCUUUUUCCAUCUAAAAUGUACAUUUUAUUUCAAUAACUGAAGAGUUUAAUGAUAACAACACUGUCACAAAGCCAUUAAAUGGCUUCAGAAGAUUUGAAAACAUAGUGCACAAGUCACAUGGAUAACCUUUACGGUUCUUUUAUGCCGUUUUUAGAGGUUGACAGUCCCGGUCCCCAUUCACUUUCAUUGCAUGAACAUUUCACCAAACUUUUUUCUUGAAAGAAUGUCAUACAGGAUUGGAACGCCAUGAGAACCAAUAAAAUUACUAAAUUUAAAUUUACGGACAAACUACUCUGAACUAUUCCUUUACAUUCAAAAACAAAAAUACAGACCACUAAAACCAAUGCAGUGAGAUGCCUGAGUGUAUCCAUCUUAGUGAUGCAACCAAACUCAUCUAAGAGGCUGAUAUCAGUUUGUUUUGCGGAGCAUGAAACAGUAUUCAUUAUUUUGAAUACUUCAUUAUUUAGGAUGGUUGUUGAGUUUCUAAAAAAAUGCAGCAUACAGUCGAUUUGAUACGCCUGAGUAAGUCCAGAAUAAAUCACAGCACUAGAAACACAAGUGAUGUUGAAGACUUGGCUCGAGAUAAGGUUAACACACACCUGAGAUGAGGACACGCAUGGAUUACAGACUGACAUGAUGUUCCUGCAUCAGCGCAGGUAAAUUACAGCCUUCAAACAGGUCACAGGAGGGGUUUCUGAGCACAGACCAUGUCUAGUUCUGGUCUAAUCAGUUUCUCGGAACCAAGCUCAAACCAUGUCAAGAUAAACGCCUAGUAUAGAGUUUAAGACACUAGUCAUAGGUCCUGUAAGUCACAUUAUUGCUUGUGAGGAGUGCAUAAUCACAAGUCAAGACAUCAGAAGUAAAACAAACCCAGUUAAAGGGGAUUUCAGAACUCUUGAAAUGUUGUCGUGUUGCAUGUGGGUAUCGGUAUAUGGGCGAGUUUGAUCAAACUAAGCAUCCUGAAAAACACCAUCUGCAUCAUUCAUGAUCAUAUUCAUGUUAAAGGGAUACUCCACCCCAAAAUGAAAACUGUCAUUAAUCACUUACCC
ensembl:lncRNA